UACGGAGGGUGCAAGCGUUAAUCGGAAUAACUGGGCGUAAAGCGCGCGUAGGCGGUUGAGUCAGUCAGAUGUGAAAGCCCCGGGCUUAACCUGGGAACUGCACCUGAUACUGCUGAACUUGAGUACGGUAGAGGGCAGUGGAAUUUCAUGUGUAGCGGUGAAAUGCGUAGAUAUAGGAAGGAACACCAGUGGCGAAGGCGACUUCCUGGACUGAUACUGACACUGAGGCGCGAAAGCGUGGGUAGCAAACAGG
rnacentral:misc_RNA from 1 species